rnacentral:misc_RNA from 1 species
GCGACAUGCGAUAAGUAAUGUGAAUUGCAGAAUUCAGUGAAUCAUCGAAUCUUUGAACGCACCUUGCGCUCCUUGGUAUUCCUUGGAGCAUGCCUGUUUGAGUAUCAUGAAAUCUUCAAAGUAAAUCUUUUGUUAACUCAAUUGGUUUCUACUUUGGUAUUGGAGGUCUUUGCAGCUUCACACCUGCUCCUCUUUGUUCAUUAGCUGGAUCUCAGUGUUAUGCUUGGUUCCACUCGGCGUGAUAAGUUAUCUAUCGCUGAGGACACUGUAAAAGGUGGCCAAGGUAAAUGCAGAUGAACCGCUUCUAAUAGUCCAUUGACUUGGACAAUACUUUUAUGAUCUGAUCUCAAAUCAGGUAGGACUACCCGCUGCACUUAAGC